rnacentral:rRNA from 1 species
CGUGUAGGCGGAUUGAUAAGUUUGAAGUGAAAUCCUAUAGCUUAACUAUAGAACUGCUUUGAAAACUGUUAAUCUAGAAUGUGGGAGAGGUAGAUGGAAUUUCUGGUGUAGGGUAAAAUCCGUAGAGAUCAGAAGGAAUACCGAUUGCGAAGGCGAUCUACUGGAACAAUAUUGACGCUGAGACGCGAAAGCGUGGGGAAGCAAACA